CUUUGACCAGUGGGGAAGACCAGAGCCCUGUCCCUGCUUGUCCCUUUAGGGACGUUGCUGAGAAGCUGGUACCUCAAAAAUCAGGGUCUCCAGUUUCCCUAUCGUUCCUAGCAGAGGGGAAGUCAGAGGCCCAGAGGAGUAGCAAGUCCAAAGUCACACAGCAAGUCUGGUCAGGACCAGCUUGGGGUCAGCUCUUGCCACAGUUCCACCCACUGUAGAGUCCUGGUGUCUGGCGGGGGUCCUGCCUACUGGCCCUGUUGCCCCCCCAGCCCCCAGUGACUGCAGCCUCUGCCUCUGCAGGGCCUGGAAAUUCACACCACCAGCAAUUGCCAGCACUUUGUGUCCCAAGUGGACACCCAGGUGAGAGCCCCACACCCUUUCCAGCCACCCAUCCCUGAAGCCUCUCACCUGCAAACCAGGCCAACCUCAGGCCCCAUUCCCCACACCAGGUUCCCACUGACUCCCAGCUGCAGAUCCAACCUGGAGACGAGGUUGUCCAGAUCAACGAGCAGGUGGUGGUGGGAUGGCCCCGUAAGAACAUGGUGAGGGAGCUGCUGCGGGAGCCAGCCGGACUCAGCUUAGUGCUAAAGAAGAUCCCGAUACCGGAGACCCCCCCACAGGUACCUUCCCCGGCCGCCCCCAAGCUGCCUUCAGAC
rnacentral:lncRNA from 1 species